rnacentral:rRNA from 1 species
UACGAAGGGGGGCUAGCGUUGCUCGGAAUCACUGGGCGUAAAGCGCACGUAGGCGGAUUGCUAAGUCAGGGGUGAAAUCCUGGAGCUCAACUCCAGAACUGCCCUUGAUACUGGCGGUCUCGAGUCCGGGAGAGGUGAGUGGAACUGCGAGUGUAGAGGUGAAAUUCGUAGAUAUUCGCAAGAACACCAGUGGCGAAGGCGGCUCACUGGCUCGGUACUGACGCUGAGGUGCGAAAGCGUGGGGAGCAAACAGG